rnacentral:rRNA from 1 species
ACGGAGGGUGCAAGCGUUAAUCGGAAUUACUGGGCGUAAAGCGCGCGUAGGUGGUUUGAUAAGCGAGAUGUGAAAGCCCCGGGCUUAACCUGGGAACGGCAUUUCGAACUGUCAGGCUAGAGUAUGGUAGAGGAGUGUGGAAUUUCCUGUGUUAGCGGUGGAAAUGACGUAGAUAUAGGAAGGAACGACCAGUGGCGGAAGGCGCACUCUGGACCAAUACUGGACCA